UCUCCGGGGGUAGAGCACUGUUUCGGCUAGGGGGCCAUCCCGGCUUACCAACCCGAUGCAAACUGCGAAUACCGGAGAAUGUUAUCACGGGAGACACACGGCGGGUGCUAACGUCCGUCGUGAAGAGGGAAACAACCCAGACCGCCAGCUAAGGUCCCAAAGUCAUGGUUAAGUGGGAAACGAUGUGGGAAGGCCCAGACAGCCAGGAUGUUGGCUUAGAAGCAGCCAUCAUUUAAAGAAAGCGUAAUAGCUCACUGGUCGAGUCGGCCUGCGCGGAAGAUGUAACGGGGCUAAACCAUGCACCGAAGCUGCGGCAGCGACACUGUGUGUUGUUGGGUAGGGGAGCGUUCUGUAAGCCUGUGAAGGUGUGUCGUGAGGCAUGCUGGAGGUAUCAGAAGUGCGAAUG
rnacentral:rRNA from 1 species